rnacentral:lncRNA from 1 species
CUGGACCCCAGACAUUGAAGGGUCAGUGCAGGGCUGUACCUUGAAGAUGGACACCGGUGGGCGCUGGACCUCUUUAUUUGUUCUUUCUGAUGUGGCCACUUUGCCAAUGAAGACCUGCCCGACGGCAACCUCUGGAUGAUCUGGAAAGAAAAUGGGCCAUACCUCCUUGAGUACACUGGAUCCAACUUGUUUCAUUUCAACCAGAACUUCAGGUACUGACUUCAAUCAACACGAGAACUUCAAUCAAGGACUUCAACCUGGACCUUCAAUCAAGCAUCUCCCACCAGACACUGACUGGAUAUAACCCAUUCAGGACUUUUAUUACACUAACAUUUCUUCCCACAGGACCCUACAAGGCUGUCAUCCUCCCAGUUCAGCAGGAAGUAGCAUGGAAAAUGCUACUUUCCCCCUUUCCCCACUGUUGACACCUAUUUAGAGCUAGUUUCCAAUUGUUUAAGGUUGGGCUUGGUAGGAGGUGUUCAAGCUUGGACAUCUCUUUCAGAUGACUUUAAGGUUUAGUUGGAAUAGUUAUAGUUAAGAUGUGACAUCAGUAGAUUAUUAUAACUUCUUGUAAUUCACCCUUAUGAUUGUUAAAGAUAGAUAAUUUGGUGGGAUUCUAGGUGUGUGCCAGAAUUACUCCAGUGUAGGGAGACACUGUAGCCCCACCUCCUAGUAGCCUGGACAGGUGUGCUGGGACACGCCCUUAAGGGCGUGGUUAGGGGAAGUCUAAGGUGACGCAGGGAGGGUUCUUAAGGGACUGAGCACACAUGGGGACUCUUUUCCCUUCUUCCUUCUCUCCUGCCUGGCAAGUUUUGGCUUGCACCUGGCUGGUGUUAUCUGAAUAAAGAAA